rnacentral:rRNA from 1 species
GACGAACGCUGGCGGCGUGCUUAACACAUGCAAGUCGAACGGUGAAGCCCUUCGGGGUGGAUCAGUGGCGAACGGGUGAGUAACACGUGAGCAACCUGCCCCUGGCUCUGGGACAACCACUGGACACGGUGGCUAAUACCGGAUACGACCCGCCUCGGCAUCGAGUGUGGGUGGAAAGUUUUUCGGCUGGGGAUGGGCUCGCGGCCUAUCAGCUUGUUGGUGAGGUGAAGGCUCACCAAGGCGACGACGGGUAGCCGGCCUGAGAGGGCGACCGGCCACACUGGGACUGAGACACGGCCCAGACUCCUACGGGAGGCAGCAGUGGGGAAUAUUGCACAAUGGGCGAAAGCCUGAUGCAGCGACGCCGCGUGAGGGAUGACGGCCUUCGGGUUGUAAACCUCUUUCAGCUCCGAAGAAGCGAAAGUGACGGUAGGAGCAGAAGAAGCACCGGCUAACUACGUG